rnacentral:rRNA from 1 species
UACAGAGGGGGCAAGCGUUGUUCGGAAUUACUGGGCGUAAAGGGCGCGUAGGCGGCCGCCUAAGUCAGACGUGAAAUCCCUCGGCUCAACCGGGGAACUGCGUCUGAUACUGGGUGGCUUGAAUCCGGGAGAGGGAUGCGGAAUUCCAGGUGUAGCGGUGAAAUGCGUAGAUAUCUGGAGGAACACCGGUGGCGAAGGCGGCAUCCUGGACCGGCAUUGACGCUGAUGAGCGAAAGCUAGGGGAGCAAACGGG